rnacentral:tRNA from 1 species
GCCCCUGUAGCUCAGUGGUUUAGAGCAUCGUGCUUAUAGAACGCGAUAGUCGUGGGUUCAAACCCCACCAGGGGCA